UAUGUGAUCGUCUCUCGCAUAUCAAUAAGCGGAGGAAAAGAAACUAACAAGGAUUCCCCUAGUAACGGCGAGUGAAGCGGGAAGAGCUCAAAUUUGAAAUCUUAAAGGGUUUCCCUUUACGAAUUGUAGUUUAAAGAAGUGUCUUCUGUUGAGGUUUUGGUAAAAGUUCUUUGGAAUAGGACAUCAUAGAGGGUGAGAAUCCCGUAUUUGACCUUUACUUUCAACUUUGUGAUACACUUUCAAAGAGUCGGAUUGUUUGGGAAUGCAGUCCAAAAUGGGUGGUAAAUUUCAUCUAAAGCUAAAUAUUGGCGAGAGACCGAUAGCGAACAAGUACCGUGAGGGAAAGAUGAAAAGAACUUUGAAAAGAGAGUUAAACAGUACGUGAAAUUGUCAAAAGGGAAGCGUUUGACACCAGUGUUGUUUUUCUGAAAAUCAAUUAAAGAACUGUUUAUGCUAAGCUGUUUAGACUUUAUCAGCUAUCUGUUUAGUUUUGAGCUUUUCUUUAAUGCACUUUUCAGUUAACAAGUCAACAUCAAUUUCUUUUGCUGUAAAAAAGCUUGAGGAAGGUGGCUUGAGAUUCGUCUUAAGUGUUUAUAGCCUCUUGCCUAUGCAGUCGGAGAGAUUGAGGUCUGCAGCGUAGAUCCUUCGGGGCUAAAUGCAUUUGUGCUAAGUUAUAGCAUUUUAUAGACAACUUGUUGACUAUGAUUUGUCUUGUAGCUUACUCGCUUAUGUUAUUUUACCUACGCUUAGGAUGUUGACACACGCGCGUGCUCG
rnacentral:rRNA from 1 species